rnacentral:rRNA from 1 species
UACGAAGGGGGCGAGCGUUGUUCGGAAUUACUGGGCGUAAAGGGCUCGUAGGCGGCCAACUAAGUCGGAUGUGAAAUCCCCAGGCUUAACCUGGGAACUGCAUCCGAUACUGGAUGGCUUGAAUCCGGGAGAGGGAUGCGGAAUUCCAGGUGUAGCGGUGAAAUGCGUAGAUAUCUGGAGGAACACCGGUGGCGAAGGCGGCAUCCUGGACCGACACUGACCACUGAGGAGCGAAAGCCAGGGGAGCAAACGGG